UACGUAGGGGGCUAGCGUUGUCCGGAAUCAUUGGGCGUAAAGCGUGCGCAGGCGGUUGUGCAAGACAGAUGUGAAAUCCCCGGGCUUAACCUGGGAACUGCAUUUGUGACUGCACGGCUAGAGUGCGGCAGAGGGGGAUGGAAUUCCGCGUGUAGCAGUGAAAUGCGUAGAUAUGCGGAGGAACACCGAUGGCGAAGGCAAUCCCCUGGGCCUGCACUGACGCUCAUGCACGAAAGCGUGGGGAGCAAACAGG
rnacentral:rRNA from 1 species